GGGGAGGCUGGUUGCCCCCACUCCCCAGGACGCUGGUUGCUGUAAGGUGGAGGGAUCGACCAUCACCUCCUCCUGGAACUCAGGCCGCCGCUGGGGAGAGAGACCAGUUGUCUCCUCUCCCUGUAUAUUAUACUGCCGCUGGGGACCUGGGCUGACUGCCCAGCAUCCCUGUAGGGCUGGCAGAGAGACUUCGGUCCCAUCUCAGCUUGCCAUCUCUC